GUAGGGUGCGAGCGUUAAUCGGAAUUACUGGGCGUAAAGCGUGCGCAGGCGGUUCUGCAAGUCAGAUGUGAAAUCCCCGGGCUUAACCUGGGAACUGCGUUUGAAACUACGGAGCUAGAGUACGGCAGAGGGGGGUGGAAUUCCACGUGUAGCAGCGAAAUGCGUAGAUAUGUGGAGGAACACCGAUGGCGAAGGCAGCCCCCUGGGCCGAUACUGACGCUCAGGCACGAAAGCGUGGGGAGCAAACAGGAUUAGAUACCCUGGUAGUCCACGCCCUAAACUAUGUCAACUAGUUGUCGGGGAAGCAAUUCCUUGGUAACGAAGCUAACGCGUGAAGUUGACCGCCUGGGGAGUACGGUCGCAAGAUUA
rnacentral:rRNA from 1 species